rnacentral:rRNA from 1 species
UUUAUCGGAGAGUUUGAUCCUGGCUCAGGACGAACGCUGGCGGCGUGCCUAAUACAUGCAAGUCGAGCGG